UACGGAGGGGGUUAGCGUUGUUCGGAAUGACUGGGCGUAAAGCGCGCGUAGGCGGGCUGGAAAGUUGGGGGUGAAAUCCCGGGGCUCAACCCCGGAAUGGCCCUCAAAACUCCCAGCCUAGAGUUCGAGAGAGGUGAGUGGAAUUCCGAGUGUAGAGGUGAAAUUCGUAGAUAUUCGGAAGAACACCAGUGGCGAAGGCGACUAACUGGACAUGUAUUGACGCUGAGGUGCGAAAGCGUGGGGAGCAAACAGG
rnacentral:rRNA from 1 species